GGGGUGUGCUCAGAGCAUAGAACCUGAAGACUGGCUCCUUUGUUUACAACACACCUGAUAGGAAUCUGGAGUCAUUAUGAUGAGGAACACAAAACUUGUGGCCUUCCUAUGAACACAUGCCCUAUAUGU